GUUCUUGGCAUAGGCUUCUGGAGACCUGGGCUGGGCAAGUGGGGCACAAGUGUGUUGGGGAGCAAGCUCUCUAGGCUGAUUACCAGGGCUUUAAACUAGGUUUGACGGGGGAAAGGAGGGGAGCUAAAAGUGACAGAGGAGGGCUGGGGGAAGUUGUCACUGCUGUCACUGUUGAAGAUAGUAGGGAAAAACCUCUCAGUUGGCCCAUAGUAUUGUCUGAGGGCUCCUCAGAGAAGGUAACAAUCCUGAUCCCCUGUCCGGAAUCUUCUUCUUGCAUCCCUCCAGGGGUAAC